UUUAAAGAGAGUUUGAUCCUGGCUCAGGACGAACGCUGGCGGCGUGCCUAAUACAUGCAAGUCGAACGAACGGAGGAAGAGCUUGCUCUUCCAAAGUUAGUGGCGGACGGGUGAGUAACACGUGGGCAACCUGCCUGUAAGUUGGGGAUAACUCCGGGAAACCGGGGCUAAUACCGAAUGAUAAAGUGUGGCGCAUGCCACGCUUUUGAAAGAUGGUUUCGGCUAUCGCUUACAGAUGGGCCCGCGGUGCAUUAGCUAGUUGGUAGGGUAAUGGCCUACCAAGGCAACGAUGCAUAGCCGACCUGAGAGGGUGAUCGGCCACACUGGGACUGAGAC
rnacentral:rRNA from 1 species